GGACAAUCACCUCUACUGGGGGAGGCUGGCACGACGCCAGGGGUGGCAGCCUGCAAUGUGCUGAGCCCCCAACUGGCUCAGGUCCUUCCCUCCUGGUUCCAGCAGGGCUGGAGAGCCACGCUGCUGCUGGUACUGAGUCCUGCUCCCUGCUGGACGUUGGAUUUGGGGCUCUCAGCAGACACCCUGGAACCUGGGAGCUCCACGUGCUUUGUUGAUGGAGGAGCAGCACAGGGAGCAAGACUCAGGAAACACAUCAAACGAAGCCAGGAGGAACUGAAAGAGGGGACCUCACGCCUGGUAACAAGGACCAUCACCAAAGACUGACAUGGCCUUGCUCAAAGGGUGCUGUGCCCUCACACCAAGACACUUGCACAAGGACAAGGACAUCUGUCAGGCAACCCUGGGCGGACACCAUCCUGGCUAGAGAU